AUCACCAUAACAAAGAAAAGCUUUGCCUCACUGGAUAGUUACCACCCUUGCAUGUAUCCUUGAACACCGCGGUUUCGUUUUACCUGUUUUUGGACUUUCUGUGAAUGGAAUUGUACAGCGUGUACUCUCUUGUCUCACUUGGCAGUAUGUUUUUAAGAGUUUUCCAUGUUGAUGAGUCAUCCACAUUGUGGUGCUUUCCACCCUCACCUUCUCUAGCCCAGCCGCGAUGUGCUUGCUUCUCCCUCUUUGUGUCUCUUAAUCCAUCCUUGCUUCAGACCCCCGCCCUCCUGAGGCCUCCUCUUCCCCUGCACCCUUGACUGGACUUCUCUUCCCCAUAGCCCCAUUGUGCUGACUGUGGCCAAGUGCUGGGAUCCCUCUCCUCAGGCCUAUUUCACUCUCCCCCGAAAUGAGCCCAUCCAGCCAAUUGACCCUGCUGCCUGGGUGUCCCAUUCCGCGGCUCUGACUGGCACCUUCCCAGCCUAUCCAGGCUCCUCCUCCAUGAGCACCAUUACAUCUGGAUCGUCUUUGCCUGAUGGCUGUGAAGGCCGGGGUCUCUCCAUCCAUACAGAUAUGGCAUCGGUGACCAAGGCCAUGGCAGCUCCAGAGUCUGGACUGGAAGUCCGGGACCGCAUGUGGCUCAAGAUCACCAUCCCUAAUGCCUUUCUGGGCUCGGAUGUGGUUGACUGGCUCUACCAUCAC
rnacentral:sRNA from 1 species